GGCCAAUCAGACCUACUGGUUUUUUGCUUUACCCCUGUUGUUUUCCAUUUGAUUUCAGGAAGUGGCGUUGAGCCUCCAUCCUUUGAUCUAGGUGUCAAUACUUCUCCAGCAGCUGUUGGUCAAGAAACUCCAAAGGAGCUAAUUUUUGCAAUACAACCAAUGCUUUCGCCUGAGCAGAAAGGAUUUGCAAGUGCUGCCUCAACACUGCCAUCUUUAGGUCUUGCUGACAUGUCACCAACCGAUGCAACCAGACAGCUUGCGCAAUGUAUUAUCCUUGACAUUGUGCAUGUCAUAGAGGAGGGAAUUGACCCUGCUGGUAAGGUGCUGUAUGGGCAAUGGAUUACCGAGCCUUUUGACAAAGUGCAUGCAUUGGUCGAGCCUCCUCAUUGUAUUUCAUGGUCAUUAGUGCAUCGUCAUCCUAUUCACGACUUGAAAUUUCUGGGCCACCUGAUAGAUUGCUGUAAAGAACUUGUUGACCAUGUUAUUCGAAGAGAAUGGGUGGUUCAUCCACUUCCUAGGUUCCUUGUUCUUACCGGCUCAGAGAUCUUGAACACAUUCGUAGAUGGCAAGGCUGCUGACUCGGAUAUUGUAGAUGCCGCAAUUCGCCGUUUCUCUUAGCUAGACGGUACUGCCGAAUCUUGUGGGUACCCUGUACGGUGACGACAUUUAUUGGAAUCGGAUUUUGCGGUAAUUCAUGAAUAAUUUCAGCAGAAUAUUUAUGCACCAACCUUAACCGUAUCUGUAUGUUUCCAUUGCGCCUAAUUACGUUUUCGCUAUCAUAAUUUUUUACAAGAUGAACUCCCUUGCUGGAUACAAUCCUAAAAAGAUCCUUCCAGUUUUAAACCAAUUUGUUGGCCUAGACUAUUGUAUCCAGAGCUGCCGCAUGUGCCUGUUAUUGUUGAGAGUGCAUGGUGUGCUUAUAUGUUCGACAUGCAUGGUUCAGAGGUCCAUGUCCUUGAUCCUGCAUAUACUUCUGUGCGGAUUUCUGUUCACAGGGAGAUUCACAAGCUUGUCCAUUCCUCGCUCGCUAAUUGUUUGUCUUAUUUCUUCGAUGGUUGGACAUUGAAAUCGAUCGACUGUUGGAAACUACUAUAUCCGACACUUCCUCUGUUCGAUCUUAAUCAGUAUGACUCUGCUAUUGUGAUGCUGUACUAUGCUAGGUAUUACAAUGGAGUCGAGUUGGAUGCCCCGUCGAACAAGGCUUCGAUGUCAGAAAUUCGUCAUUCUAUAAUGUUUGAUAUCCUAUCUUCCGAAGGGAAUCUAGCAUCUUUGCCAAUUUAUGUUCUCCAAGUCAAGCAAGGAUGAAUUGCAACCCUAAGAAAGAGAGUCAUUUUGG